UUAAACCUCAGAUGCGAGUUUUAAUGAUUUAUUGGUUGGUGGAAGGAGGUGUUGAAACUCACGAAACUAAUUCAAGUCAUUGUAUCGUAAGCGAUGAAGAUGAUACGGAAAGACCUAUAUUAUAAACACGGUGAUUGAAAGUAAUAAAAGAAGAAAAUAUGGAAUCAACUGAAGGAGCGGUGGUAGUUGUCAAUAUUAUUGAAAUACUUAAACAUUUUAGAGAGAGAGAGACCAGCUUUGGUAGCAUAGUAGUUGUAGAAUCGGAGAAUAUUACACCUUCUCUCCAUCUACGUUUGACAGCUUUGAGAUGAUUGAUUCCAAACGGAACCUAAAACAUACUUUGCAAAUAUAGAAAGAAAGCGAUGGAAAGGUAUGAUUUUUAAUUAGGAUAUUUAUUUAACAAGACACAACUACAAGAACAGCAACAAGAAAUAAGAACCAAAUCAAAAUCAAUUCCUAUUCUUGGCUUUCUGAAAUUGCAUUGCUUCACACGAAAGAAAAUGGCCGCAGCACCAGAAUCAGCAGCCAUGGAAUCGGACCAGAAUAGUCGCGUCAUAGCUAUUGCCAUUGACGAGAGGGAUGUAGCUGAAAGUGCAUUCCAAUGGUACCUUGAUAACCUACAACGGAAAGAUGACUUUGUGGUACUCAUCCAUAUACUGGAAUACCCUAGUAUUCUCAUGCCAACUGUUUCAGUGUUGCAACAGAUUCUCCAUGAGAUGGAUGAAAAGCUUGACACAGUAGAAGAAAGAUGCAAAGAACAUUUGCAAAAGCUCCAGAUGUCAACUUACAGCUGUUCAAGUUGAACAUAAACCAAAUCAGUCUCACCCAUUCCAAAGGGCUUGAAAAAGUUAUGGGCACAUCCUCUUUCUCUUGAGAAAACAUCAUGCUGCAACGUAAUUAUCAUCAACAUCAUCAUAGUCAUCAUCAUCACCAUCAUUAUUGUCAUCAUCAACAUUGUCAUCAUUACAUAGUCAUAUAUCGAUAAGAGGUAAAUUCCGAACUGGAGCUGGAAAAAGUGGACCACUAAUCGUUGACAUAG
rnacentral:misc_RNA from 1 species